UACGGAAUGUGCAAACGUUAUUCGGAAUCACUGGGCUUAAAGAGUCCGUAGGCGGCAUGUUAGGUGAGGUGUGAAAUCCCCCGGCUCAACCGAGGAAUUGCGCUUCAAACCGGCGUGCUAGAGGAAGAUAGAGGUGGGCGGAACUGAUGGUGGAGCGGUGAAAUGCGUUGAUAUCAUCAGGAACACCGGAGGCGAAGGCGGCCCACUGGGUCUUUCUGACGCUGAGGGACGAAAGCUAGGGGAGCGAACGGG
rnacentral:rRNA from 1 species